GGUGGAAUAGAAUAUAGCAUGGCAUAAAUGAAUCUGAAUUUUGUCCAAAGUUUUGAAAAAUCAUUUGCAAUGCUAACCAAUAAAUGCUUCCUAAAGUUUUUGAAGUUGGAAGAGGUGGUGAAGGAUUGUGAAUGUGUGGGGUGAUGGGGUGGAGGUGCGAUAGUAGGGGAUUGAGGGGUAGAGAAGGGUAUAGUAUGGUAGGCGUUGGUGAAUGUGGUGGCCGGUUGUAGGAUUUCCGAGCACUGAAAGCAUCUUUUAGAAGGAAAAAGGAAACUUUAAAACGUGAACGUCAUACGGAAUCAGAUCAAAUCAAUCUUACAGGAGGGAACAAGGGUGUGCUUCCAGCUUUUUUCGCAGAGAUCCGUUGGGGCGGCGGGGCCUCCUUGCUUUUUAAUUUUCCUCCGGGGCGGAGAUGAGCAUGUCUCUCUAUUCAUCUCUUUCUGUUCUCCCCCUCUACUCCAACUCCACUCACCUCCAACACCGCCUUUCUCAUAUUCAACCUCUAAAUUCUCUCAUUACAGCCUCCAAUUACUCGACUUCAAGGCCUUCGAUUACUACUCUGCACUUACCUCCCAGAAACCGCAAAGUGGACAUCACUUGCUGCUGCUCCAUGCCCGUCGAGCAGGUUUCAUCGCCGCAGUUGCAGGGUCUUUUAUCAUACUCUAGAGCAUAUUGGGUUUCAAGAUCUUUAAUCGCGUGGGAUGUGGACGUUGGAAACGGUUCUUGCUAUCUAUACGCCAGUAGAACUGCCGGUUUAGUUCUUACAGACGACGGCGUACAAGGUGAAGAUGUGGUGAUUAAGCUCGAAGACUACAAUGGUGGACUCCAAUUGAAUGUAAUAGAGAAGUUCCCUCACAUCUGUAGCUAUAGAGCUUUUAAAGUCCCAUUAAACGUGGAUGUGAAAAGCCUCCUCAAAUGCCAGUUAGCAGUUGCCUCUUUUCAUGCUGAUGGGCUUUGCACCAAUGCUACUGGUUUACAGUUACCUGGUGUUUUAGAUGAUUUAUUUGCAUACAAUGGUCCACUUGGUGCUGUUUUCACAGAAGAAGCAGUGUCACUUUCCCUUUGGGCUCCUACUGCUCAAGUGGUACGUGCUUGCAUCUAUAGUGGCCCAUCAGGUGGCAAUCCCUUGGAGAGUGUCCUGCUUGAGGAGGACAAUGGUGUUUGGACUGUGAAUGGACCAAGAACUUGGGAAGGCUGCUACUAUGUCUAUGAAGUCUCCGUCUAUCAUCCUAGCACCUUGCAAAUUGAAAUGUGCACAACAAAUGAUCCAUAUGCAAGAGGGAUCUCAUCGGAUGGCAUGAGGACAUUGUUGAUCAAUCUUGAUUGUGAUAACUUAAAACCAGAGGGUUGGGAUGGAUUGGCAGAUGAGAAACCUUUACUUUCUUCCUUUUCUGAUAUCAGUAUUUAUGAGUUGCACGUACGAGAUUUCAGUGCUAGCGAUCAGACUGUGAGACCUGAUCUCCGCGGUGGUUAUCUUGCAUUCACCUCUCAGGAUUCUGCAGGCAUACAUCACCUAAAGAAGUUAUCAGCUGCUGGUCUAACUCAUGUUCAUCUAUUGCCAACAUUCCAGUUUGGUGGUGUUGAUGAUGAGAAGGAGAAAUGGGAGUACGCAGACACCAAUAAGCUGGCGACUUUGCCACCGGAUUCAGAUGAGCAACAGGCUCAAGUCACUGCCAUCCAAGACAAAGAUGAGUACAACUGGGGGUACAAUCCAAUUCUUUGGGGUGUCCCAAAAGGAAGUUAUGCAAGCAACCCAAAUGGUUCCAGCCGUACUCUUGAGUUCCGAAAGAUGGUACAGUCUCUUAACCGUAUUGGCCUUCGUGUUGUGCUGGAUGUCGUCUAUAACCAUUUGCAUGGAAGUGGGCCACUUGAUGAUAACUCUGUGCUGGACAAGGUUGUUCCAGGUUACUACCUAAGGAGGGACAAAGAUGGAUUUAUUGAGCAUAGUGCUUGUGAAAAUAAUACUGCUAGUGAACAUUUUAUGGUAGAACGCUUGAUUCUUGAUGAUCUACUAUGCUGGGCUGUCAAUUAUAAGGUUGAUGGAUUCCGGUUUGACCUCAUGGGCCAUAUAAUGAAAAGUACCAUGGGGAAGGCCAAAAGUUCUCUCCAAAGUCUAUCAAAGGAAAAUAAUGGAACAGAUGGUUCUAAGAUCUACAUAUAUGGUGAAGGGUGGGAUUUUGGUGAAGUUGCAAAAAAUGGGCGUGGGGUAAAUGCAUCACAAUUCAAUCUUAAUGGGACUGGAAUUGGGAGCUUUAAUGAUCGAAUACGAGAUGCAGUGCUUGGUGGAUCUCCAUUUGGUCAUCCUCUUCAACAAGGUUUCGUUACUGGUCUAUCUUUGCAGCCUAAUGCACAUGACCACGGUUCCAAAGCUGCCAUGGACCAUAUGCUUGCAGUAUCGAAGGAUCACAUCCAGGUUGGGAUGGCUGCGAACUUGAGGGACUUCAUCUUAACCAGUCAUAGUGGUGAAGAGGUGAAAGGAUCUGAAGUUUUAAUGCAUGAUGGUAUACCAGUUGGAUAUGCUUCAUGCCCCACAGAAACAGUUAAUUACGUGUCAGCUCAUGAUAAUGAAACUCUGUUUGAUAUUGUGAGUUUGAAGACCCCAAUGGAAAUUUCUGUGGACAAUAGAUGCAGGAUAAAUCAUUUGGCAACCAGUAUUGUAGCAUUUUCACAGGGCAUUCCAUUUUUUCAUUGUGGCGAUGAGAUGUUACGCUCGAAAUCACUUGAUCGUGAUUCAUAUAAUUCGGGUGAUUGGUUCAACAGACUAGACUUCACCUAUGAAACGAACAACUGGGGUGUUGGUCUUCCUCCUAAAGGAAAAAAUGAGAAGAACUGGCCACUGAUUAAACCACGUCUGGCAGAUCCAUCUUUUAAGCCUCAGAAAAGUCAUAUAGUUGCGGCAGUAGAAAAUUUCUUUAACAUUUUAAGGAUUAGGUACUCUUCCCCACUUCUCCGUUUGAAGACAGCCAAUGCCAUCCAGCAACUACAAGAAUCAAACGUGCCUGGUUUGCACCAAAGGGGGGAAAAGGUGGCUGGUCUCAAAAAAAAUAAAGCAUAUCCCCCUUUUUUUUUGGCAUUCAUUAUUUCAAGAUUUGAGAUUAUUCAAUGGAGCAACAUAAAAGGUUGAAGAAGACGUUUAAUGUGGCAUGGAAAUUUGCAAUGAAGGCCAUUGAGUGCACCAGAGGGGAGUGAUAUGAUGCAGAUAAAGGAGUUAAAAGACCGAGGGAACAGACUGAAAUUACUUGGGAAGACGUCGUGAGAAAGUUAUGAAUGGAUUUGAGUUGACAAUGAUCAUGGCCAAACAGAGUUGAAUGGUGAAACAGGAUCCCUAUGGCUGAUCCCAUUUAGUCGGCAAAAGGCUGACUGAGUUGAGUUGUGUUGUUCAAUGGAGCCACAGGUCUCAUAUUUAUGCUUCGAUCACAGUUUGUGUCCAUAAUUUGCAGGAGUAAAAGUAAAUUAUUCCUAUUUUUACCGUCUUUUAUGAUCUGUUUAACUUUAGGUGAUGGAAACUGUAACUUUUUUUCUUUUUUUUGGUGGAAAUGGAAACCAUACCUUUGACAAAGUCUUUUAGUGCGUUAUUGGUAGUCUUCAUUAGAAUUUCAUAGAGAUCUGGUUUAUUCCUUCGGUGAAUGUUUACACAGAUACACAAAUGCAUUCCUGCACAGAAUGAAGGUUCAUUUUUUCAUUUUUUCUUUUGGUAGAAAAUAGUUUAUCAUGGAGUUACUUGGGCAAGAGAGAUUCACUUACCACUGAGAUUUGAUGCAAUGGCUCAUCCCACCUAAAGCUACGGUGAUUGGUUAGUUUGUAAGGCGGAAAUGCCAAUCUUGUACUUUGCCUGUGGAGUCCAACAAAAAUGUUAAAAUGCAACUUCCCCCACCUAAUAGGUGAACAUUAAGUUAUAAAAAUUUAAAGUUCUGUCCAGCCAGAAGCAUCAAAAUGUCAAAGCAUCGGUGGGAAUGCCUAAAAUGGCUUGGGAUUUGGUAGUGAGAAAAAUAUGAAUGCUUGUGAUUUAUUGGAUGAUAUAUGGCUCUAAAUUAGAGAAUUGGUUGAACAAGAUUUGUGCAGCCAACCCUAAUAUACUGAUAAGACUUGAUCGAGUUGACUUGUGUCAAGUUUUCAGUCUUUAAAAUUAUUUUAAUUUCUUUUGAACAGAAUUGGAAUUUCCAUGAUGAUAUUAUUCUCUGUUUUUCUAAAGUUUAAAAGGUUAUUGGACUGAACCAUUUUGUACCUUUCCCUAACCCUUAUUUUUUCGGUAAAUAAUUCCGAUAUAUUGAACUAAGUUGAACAUCUAUUCGAGACAAAAUAAAUAAAUAAAUAAAUAAAUAAAUAAAUAAAAUAAAUAAAAUAAAUAAAUAAAUCGGCCUUAAUGAGUAAAUGGUGCUUCCCUAUCCUGUUUUGUCUUCUCAUUUUUCCUUGGUGUUCGUUUCCUUUGUGAGAGGUGUCAAACAGACCUGCUGAAGGUUUCAUGUUCUUUUGGGGAAAUAAAAAUUUUCUUUUAUUGUUGUCAGAUGAAGUAAUGCUUUUCAGUUCCUUCUUUUUUUGUGCAUCUAAUUUAGUGCCUGGAGCUGUUAUAUGAAUGGGCUGUAUAAUGGUAAUGCACCAGAAAUGAAAUGUUGAGCUUCUUUUUCUUAAGGUUUAACAGCUUGAAGCUGCAUCUAUUUUCAGCAAAGGGUACGGUUCCAUAAUACUGGUCCGUCAUGGGUCCCUGGGGUUAUUGUGAUGAGCAUCGAGGAUGGCCAUGAUGGCAUGCCUGGUUUAGCUCAACUAGAUCCCAUCCAUUCCUAUAUUGUUGUUGUUUUCAAUGCCUGCCCAAC